rnacentral:lncRNA from 1 species
CUUCCGGCAGAGAGGAGUGACAGGCUCUGGGGCACCGGCCGUGUGUCAGGGCACUAUCAGCUUUCUGCUCCAAGGGUCGCGCUCUCAGAGCAUUUGUUGAAGGACUCGCAGCCACAUUUGGCCCUGGAAGCUUAUGCUGUGCUUUUUCAAGAGCGGAGAGGAAAGAAGGCCCGACUAGGGAAUGCAGCAGAGUGUGCCGGGUAAACACUGGAGGCUGCAGAAUGUUCUGGAUCUCCACUUUGCUAAAAUAGGAGCCAGUCAGGAAAGUGGCAGCUGAAUGGUGCAAAAGUGGAUUUAUUUACAUUAAAUAAUACCCUGCCCACUCCCCGGAACCUGGGAUCUGGCCCCUCCUCUGAGUCAGAACGGGAGACUGCGCUCCGUGCAUCGGUAGAAAUUUACUUUCUACGCUGCUUUGCGGUGUUCGGGAUUUGUGUUGGCUGGGAGCAUAAAUCAUUUUUCAAAACGAAUUUUAGUGGAAAUGUUAUUCUUUCCAAUUAAUUAGGGUUUGGAGGCUGAUGUUAUUUGCGCUCAACAAAAAUAUCCAGUCUGCUCAUGAACUAAAAAUGGUUUAAAACUACGGAAGAAGGUGUCUUCCAGCUGAAGGUGUAUUUGGG